GAGUUUGAUCCUGGCUCAGGAUGAACGCUGGCGGCGUGCCUAACACAUGCAAGUCGAGCGCGAUUAAAUGGAUUAGAGAGCUUGCUCAAAGAGACAUUUAUGAAAGCGGCGGACGGGUGAGUAACGCGUGGGCAACCUGCCCUGUGCAGAGGGAUAGCCACUGGAAACGGUGAUUAAUACCUCAUGGAGCUAUUGAACCGCAUGGUUUAAUGGUGAAAGUUCCGGCGGCACAGGAUGGGCCCGCGUCUGAUUAGCUAGUUGGUGAGGUAACGGCUCACCAAGGCGACGAUCAGUAGCCGACCUGAGAGGGUGAACGGCCACACUGGAACUGAGACAC
rnacentral:rRNA from 1 species